UACGAAGGGGGCUAGCGUUGCUCGGAAUCAUUGGGCGUAAAGAGCGUGUAGGCGGCCCGAUAAGUCCGCCGUGAAAGUCCAGGGCUCAACCCUGGAAUGCCGGUGGAAACUGUCGGGCUGGAGUCCGGAAGAGGCGAGUGGAAUUCCUGGUGUAGCGGUGAAAUGCGCAGAUAUCAGGAGGAACACCAAUGGCGAAGGCAGCUCGCUGGGACGGUACUGACGCUGAGACGCGAAAGCGUGGGGAGCAAACAGG
rnacentral:rRNA from 1 species